UCAUGGCUCAGGAUGAACGCUGGCGGUAUGCUUUACACAUGCAAGUCGUACGAGAGUUUUUAACUCUAGUGGCGGACGGGUGAGUAACACGUAAGAAUUUGCCUUUAGGAGGGGGACAACAACUGGAAACGGUUGCUAAUACCCCAUAUGCUUUCGAGUGAAAUGGAUUUUUCCGCCUGAAGAGAAGCUUGCGGCUGAUUAGCUUGUUGGUAAGGUAAUGGCUUACCAAGGCGACGAUCAGUAUCUGGUUUGAGAGGACGAUCAGACACACUGGAACUGAGACACGGUCCAGACUCCUACGGGAGGCAGCAGUGAGGAAUUUUCCGCAAUGGGCGAAAGCCUGACGGAGCAAUACCGCGUGAGGGAUGAAGGCCUAUGGGUUGUAAACCUCUUUUUUCAGGGAGGAAUUCAAUGACGUGUACCUGAAGAAUAAGCAUCGGCUAACUCCGUGCCAGCAGCCGCGGUAAGACGGGGGAUGCAAGUGUUAUCCGGAAUCACUGGGCGUAAAGCGUCUGUAGGUGGUUAAAUAAGUCAACUGUUAAAUCUUGAGGCUUAACUUCAAAAUCGCAGUCGAAACUGUUUGACUAGAGUAUAGUAGGGGUAAAGGGAAUUUCCAGUGGAGCGGUGAAAUGCGUAGAGAUUGGAAAGAACACCGAUGGCGAAGGCACUUUACUGGGCUAUUACUAACACUGAGAGACGAAAGCUAGGGUAGCAAAUGGGAUUAGAUACCCCAGUAGUCCUAGCUGUAAACAAUGGAUACUAGAUGUUGAACAGAUCGACCUGUGCAGUAUCAAAGCUAACGCGUUAAGUAUCCCGCCUGGGAAGUAUGCUCGCAAGAGUGAAACUCAAAU
rnacentral:rRNA from 1 species